rnacentral:rRNA from 1 species
AUUGAACGCUGGCGGCAUGCCUUACACAUGCAAGUCGAACGGUAACGCGGGGCAACCUGGCGACGAGUGGCGAACGGGGGAGUAAUGUAUCGGAACGUGCCCAGCUGUGGGGGAUAACUGCUCGAAAGAGCAGCUAAUACCGCAUACGACCUGAGGGGGAAAGCGGGAGAUCGCAAGACCUCGCGCAAUUGGAGCGGCCGAUAUCAGAUUAGGUAGUUGGUGGGGUAAAGGCUCACCAAGCCGACGAUCUGUAGCUGGUCUGAGAGGACGACCAGCCACACUGGGACUGAGACACGGCCCAGACUCCUACGGGAGGCAGCAGUGGGGAAUUUUGGACAAUGGACGCAAGUCUGAUCCAGCCAUGCCGCGUGCGGGAAGAAGGCCUUCGGGUUGUAAACCGCUUUUGUCAGGGAAGAAAAGGCUCCUUCUAAUAUAGGGGGCUCAUGACGGUACCUGAAGAAUAAGCACCGGCUAACUACGUGCCAGCCGCCGCAGUAA